rnacentral:rRNA from 1 species
UGGGGAAUAUUGCACAAUGGACGGAAGUUUGAUGCAGCGACGCCGCGUGGAGGGUGUAGGCCUUCGGGUUGUGAACUCCUUUUUCUCGCGAAAAAGGCACAGUUUUGGCUGUGUUGAUGGUAGUGGGGGAAGAAGCGCCGGCUAACUACGUGCCAGCAGCCGCGGUAAUACGUAGGGCGCGAGCGUUGUCCGGAUUUAUUGGGCGGAAAGAGCUCGUAGGUGGUUCGUCGCGUCUGUCGUGAAAGCCAGCAGCUUAACUGUUGGUCUGCGGUGGGUACGGGCGGGCUUGAGUGCGGUAGGGGUGACUGGAAUUCCUGGUGUAGCGGUGGAAUGCGCAGAUAUCAGGAGGAACACCGAUGGCGAAGGCAGGUCACUGGGCCGUUACUGACACUGAGGAGCGAAAGCGUGGGGAGCGAACAGG